CGGGGUGUAGCUCAGACUGGUAGAGCGCGUGGUUCGGGUCCACGAGGUCGCAGGUUCGAAUCCUGUCUCCCCGACCA
rnacentral:tRNA from 1 species